rnacentral:tRNA from 1 species
GCCCGGGUAGCUCAAUCGGUAGAGCGUGUGGCUCUUAACAGUAGAAAGUCUCCAACUGAAGGCAACAUGCUAAAUGGUCACCUCAAGGUCGUGGGUUCGAGCCCCACCUCGGGCU